rnacentral:lncRNA from 1 species
CUCAGUCACUCUACUCUCUGUCAUCUGCAGGUGAAUUUUUUUUUUCUUUUUUUUUUUUUUUUUUCUUCUUCUGCCUUUUGUUCUGCUGGUAGAUAGAUGCGAGGGGCUGAUAGAGAGCAGGAGCUGAUCUCUCGCCCCGAUAGCCUGUUAUAUUUAUUAACUUCAAACAGGGGAGCGCGGGCACGGGGCUGAGGAGCGAGGCUCCUGGCAGCUGCGUGUGCGUGCGCUCACAGCGCCGGGUCCUCAGAUGGGGGAACUGAUAAGCCGCAGAUUGAUCUCGUGCUGCUGAUGUGCCUCUCGCCGGGUGCUGUUGUUUUAAUACAUACGUGUUGUGUUGGUUUUUUUAUUUUUAUUUUUUUUAUCCCCCCCCCUUCCUAAAUUAACUGGAAGCGAACAUUUUUGUAGUAGUUUGCAGGAGCCUGCCUGUGUUGGUUUUUUUUUUUUUCUUUUUCUUUUAUAUUUUUUUUUUCUUUUCCCUUUCUAUUCUGCUUUCAGCUAGAGUAGAUCUGAGCUCCCGAUAAGCGCGGAGGCCCGAUCUCCAUCCUGAUAAAGAUUGCCAGGGGAGAUAAGGGCCACUUAUCUCUCCCGACCAGACUGGAGCAGGAUUCGCUACAAUAACAAACACUGAAAAGAGGGGCAAAAGGGCUCCAACAAUUUGUUCCACUGCAAAUGUGAUUAAUGCAGGCGCUCUAAUUAUCUGAUGGGGGGCAGCUGCAUGUGUGUUUUCCUUUUGCAGGGUGUGUUUUUAUUCACCCCCCCCCACACACACGCUGGUGCUCCGAAACAAGGCUGGUGUAGAAGCCGAGCUCUCCUCAGCGCCUUUUAUCACCUACAGAUGUUGCAUUAGUUCGAGGGCUGACUUUCUUUUUCGAUCGCUAUCGCCCCGUCCUGCUCGGCGCAGCAAGCACACGGCGGUGGUUGGGUGUUGUCAUCCUGGUCACGAUGGGCUCGGCUUCCAGGGCCCGUGGGGAGAUGGAUGGGCGCUGCCCUGUGUGCCCGCCGCUCUUCCACCCCCAUGGAGACAUCCCCAAAGGGCUGCAGGGAGCCACGGGGAGCCCCUGCUGGGGCCGAGGGCUCUGGCUCCGGACUCGUGCAGUUGGGCAAGGUCUCUGUUUUCCCUUCGUGAAUCAAGGCCACCUAGCAAGCUGCAGCUUCCCCUUUCGCCGAGUUGCGAGGCGGCCAGCUCGGCGCUCGGGGCUGGGAAGGGAGCAGCGUUUUCCCCCAGGGGUGCUGCAGGUGGGCUCCCCGCACGGGGACAGCCCCGGGGACACCGUGUGAUGGUGGCAUCCCGAAGGAAUCACCGAGCCCUCGUCUGCCUCUGGUGCCUGCUGGUGAUGGGGACAUCCCCGGGGCAUCCCGCAGAGGAGCCGUGCUCCCAGCCCUGCGCCAUCCGUGGGGUCAGUGCCACCCCCAUCCGUGACAGCGACGAUGCUCCUGAGGUGCCCAAACUGGGAGCAGCGGGGUUGGCGAAGCCUGGGGAUGGAGCUGCCGUCUUUUUCGUGGUGUUGGUGGAUUUGGGGUCAAAUACGCCCUUUCUGAGCAAGGGAGGAGGAUGCUUGCCCUGCCCGCUGCUGUUCCCACUGCAGCCUCAGAAAACACAAGCUCUGGUGGUGCCGUGGAACAAAACCAGCCUGGAUUUUCCCAUGUGGUGAGAAGGGAAAGCCCAAAGGCACGGGUCAGGGCACUGCAGGGGGAUGGCAGGAGCAGAGAAACCUUCUGGCUUUCUGCAUUUGGGAAGAAAAAGUGAAAAAUGCCUCCGGCACCCAGCAGCAGCUCUUGCUGGCCAGCUCUGCGCAUCCUGCGGGCACCCAGGACCUUGGGUUUGAUCCCUAGGAGGGGGAAGAGGAGGCUCCCUCCCUCCCCGCGGAGAGGAGCGCGGAUGGAAGCAGAAGGCCAAGCUCUUUUAUUUUUUUCUGUGCCACGUCCCAUGACCGUUUUUGCUGCCUGACUCAGGACUUUUUUGGACGCUCCGGCUUGGCGAGGCCGAUGUCCUGCUUCGUGUUUUAUCAGAAAAGUUCAAGUGUUUCGGGGGUAAUAAAGUUCCCUCUUCCGAUUGCCAUGGCAGUGAAGGCUCCUCAUUGUUCCUGUAGCAACAUGUUUUUUUGGAAGGGAUGAAAUGCCGAAAGGAAUGCAACUGCUGACCUUGGGCCGCAGUAGGGUUAAGGAGUGUGUGCCUAUGAGUCACUCCAGAUAAGAGCCUUCCACGGCAUUUUCUUUUUUUUUUUUUUUUCCUCCAAAAUACUUCUUUAUCUCCCCUUUCUCACAUCGACAUAUUUUUCUUGACAUCUCCCAUUCAGCGGCGCGCGGAGGAAACGCGCCGCUGCGAUCUGUGCGGCUGAUGAGAGGUGGGCGCAUUGUCUUCCGACCCCUUCCGAGCGGGGUCGGCCGGCGAUUUCGGCGACGUGUGGGACGGGGACAGCGGCGCUGGCAUCCCCGCGGCACGUUUGGUGCCACCAGCACGCGGCGUGUGCCCAGUGCAGGGCGGCAUCACCCAGCCCCGGAGCUUUAUUUAAUUUUUUUUUCCGCUUUCGGUGCCUUCUCCACCGGGAAGUUCGGCCGCUCGCGCGCUGCUCCGUCUCCCAGGCGAGGCCUCUCGUGCUACUUGCAGCUCCUAUGAUAAUGCGGAAAGUUGAACUGGCCCCAUUACUGCGCUGCGAUGGUUGCCUCGAUAACGCCCCGAUAAUGGCAGCGAUAGCAGCGGCUCGGUAGCCAAUGGCUCUGCCGCUCCUCCCAUUAACAUUCCCCACCACGGCCCGGCUCGGAGCUGCCUAUCUGCUCUCCAUUUCCACUCCUCCGCUAGAUAAGAAUGGAAAUACUGACUUCAUAGCUCACUGAUUAAAGUGUCUGGAUUUCU